ACGGAGGGUGCGAGCGUUAAUCGGAAUCAUUGGGCGUAAAGCGCACGUAGGCGGUGUCGUAAGUCGGAUGUGAAAGCCUUCGGCUCAACCGGGGAAUUGCAUUUGAUACUGUGAUGCUUGAGUACAGGUGAGGGAGGCGGAAUGCGACAUGUAGGGGUGAAAUGCUUAGAUAUGACAAGGAACACCGAUAGCGAAGGCAGCCAACUAAAUUGAAACUGACGCUGAUGUACGAAAGCGUGGGGAUCAAACAG
rnacentral:rRNA from 1 species